rnacentral:rRNA from 1 species
AGUGAACGCUGGCGGUAGGCCUAACACAUGCAAGUCGAACGGCAGCACAGUAAGAGCUUGCUCUUACGGGUGGCGAGUGGCGGACGGGUGAGGAAUACAUCGGAAUCUACUUUUUCGUGGGGGAUAACGUAGGGAAACUUACGCUAAUACCGCAUACGACCUACGGGUGAAAGCAGGGGAUCUUCGGACCUUGCGCGAUUGAAUGAGCCGAUGUCGGAUUAGCUAGUUGGCGGGGUAAAGGCCCACCAAGGCGACGAUCCGUAGCUGGUCUGAGAGGAUGAUCAGCCACACUAGAACUGAGACACGGUCCAGACUCCUACGGGAGGCAGCAGUGGGGAAUAUUGGACAAUGGGCGCAAGCCUGAUCCAGCCAUACCGCGUGGGUGAAGAAGGCCUUCGGGUUGUAAAGCCCUUUUGUUGGGAAAGAAAAGCAGCAGGUUAAUACCCCGCUGUUCUGACGGUACCCAAAGAAUAAGCACCGGCUAACUUCGCG